rnacentral:rRNA from 1 species
UACGUAGGGUGCGAGCGUUAAUCGGAAUUACUGGGCGUAAAGUGUGCGCAGGCGGCUUCGCAAGUCGAGUGUGAAAUCCCCCGAGCUUAACUUGGGAAUUGCGCUCGAAACUACGGGGCUGGAGUGUGGCAGAGGAAGGUGGAAUUCCACGUGUAGCGGUGAAAUGCGUAGAGAUGUGGAGGAACACCGAUGGCGAAGGCAGCCUUCUGGGCCAACACUGACGCUCAUGCACGAAAGCGUGGGGAGCAAACAGG